rnacentral:rRNA from 1 species
UACGUAGGGUGCAAGCGUUAAUCGGAAUUACUGGGCGUAAAGCGUGCGUAGGUGGUUUUUUAAGUCUGCUGUGAAAGCCCUGGGCUCAACCUGGGAAUGGCGGUGGAUACUGAAAAGCUAGAGUGCGGUAGAGGAGGGUGGAAUUCCCGGUGUAGCGGUGAAAUGCGUAGAGAUCGGGAGGAACAUCAGUGGCGAAGGCGGCCCUCUGGACCAGCACUGACGCUGAGGCACGAAAGCGUGGGGAGCAAACAGG